UCAUUUGCCUUUUAAUUGGAGGCUGGUAUGAAUGGUUUGACGAGAGCUAUGCUGUCUCUUUCGAAAUAUUUAAAAAUUAACUUUUAGGUAAAGAGGCCUAAAUUUAUUUAAGGGACAAGAAGACCCUGUUGAGCUUUAGUGAUCCUGUAAGUUUACAAGCAGCUUAAUAACUGUUGUAUUUUUGUGUAUUUAUAUAUAACAUAAGUUUGUAGGUAAUCUUUAGUUGGGGCGACUGAGGAACAUUAAAAGCUUCCUUGAAUUUAGUAAUAAGUUAAAUUAUUUAAUUUUUUGAUGCAUUUAUGUUAAUUUUGAUCCAAUUUAUUUUGAUUAAGAGAAAAAGUUACCACAGGGAUAACAGCGUAAUCUUUCUGGAGAGAUCUAAUCGAAAGAAGGGUUUGCGACCUCGAUGUUGGACUAAGAUAUCCUGAGGGUGCAGAAG
rnacentral:rRNA from 1 species